AUCGGGCCACUUUGAAGCCCCUUCACUCUUCAUUUGAUUAUCAGUCCACGAAUGACUUCAGAGACCCAUGUCGUCUUCUCUCUCUCUGUUUCUCGGACAAGGCUUCGCAGUUGCUGCGGUAGUUUUACUUCAAUCCUACAGAAUUCGCCAUCUUCGUCCUCUUCUGUGGCACCUCUUUGGCGCUAAUCCGAGGAAAACGAAGAAGCUAGUGUUUUAAUGUUCUAAUCAUUUGCUCCCCUUCGGAAGAAAACCCUUCAAUGAUCUCCCAAAUUAGAAGCUGCCCUCCAAUUUCUUCUCGCUUUUUCUACGGAGAAUGCUCUCGUGCCCUUUCUUCGGUGUGUUCUGCUUCCCCUUUAGAAUGUUUCCGUUUCAUGGGAACAAGAAUCGGUAACCGAGAAGGGCAAUGCCUAGAUACAAGCAGACCUUCUGAAAUUGACAUUAUCAUAGCAAAUAUAACUCGAGGAAGUAGUGAGGAUGAAGUUGUGCACUCUCUCCUGCACGACCAAGCCUGUAAUAAUAUGCCCAUCUCCCACACCCUAAUUGAUAAGUUGCUCCGGCGGUUCAAAGAUGAUUGGAAGUCUGCAUUGGGUGUUUUUAGAUGGGCAGAGGCCCAAUCAAACUAUAAGCAUACUCCGGAAGCAUACGAUUUGAUGGUAGACAUACUAGGGAAAAUGAAGCAAAUGGAUAAGAUGAGGGCUUUGCUUGAGGAAAUGAGGUCUGGCCGUCUUGUCAUGCUUAGUACAAUAGCAAAGGUUAUGAGAAGGCUUGCGGGAGCAGGGAAUUGGGAAGAUGCCGUGAGAAUAUUUGAUGAGUUGGGGACUUUCGGGUUGGACAAGAACACAGAAUCCAUGAACUUGUUGCUUGACACCCUUUGCAAAGAGAACAAGGUUGAGCAGGCCCGUGCAAUUUUCUUGGAGCUCAAAACACACAUUCUGCCGAAUUCUCAUACAUUUAACAUCUUCAUUCAUGGUUGGUGCAAAGUGAAUCGGGUAGAUGAGGCCCAUUGGACAAUUCAGGAAAUGAAGGGACAUGGUUGUCGCCCAUGUGUUAUCAGUUACUCAACAAUCAUCCAAUCUUAUUGUUGUUUUUAUAACUUCAAUAAAGUGUAUGAACUCCUAGAUGAGAUGCAAACUCAGGGUUGCCCUCCAAACGUUGUCACUUACACCACUAUCAUGUGUUCACUGGCAAAGUCUGAACAGUUUGAGGAAGCACUGCAGCUAGCGGAUAGAAUGAAAUCAGUUGGUUGUAAGCCUGACACUCUUUACUACAACUGUUUGAUACAUACACUAGGGAGAGCAGGCCGGCUACAAGAUGCUGUCCAUGUUUUUGAUGUGGAGAUGCCCAAGAAUGGUGUUGCCCCAAAUACAUCUACCUACAAUUCUAUUAUUGCUAUGUUCUGCCAUCGCGCUAAAGAGCAAAAGGCCUUGAACGUCCUUAAGGAGAUGGAGGAUUCAGCACUUUGUAGGCCAGAUGUUCAGACAUAUUACCCACUGCUCAAGUCGUGCUUUAAAAGGGGAAAGACAGAUGACAGUUUGAGCAGAUUGUUGAAUGACAUGGUUAAUAAGCAUCAUCUGAGUCUCGAUCUCUCAACUUACACACUUUUGAUUCAUGGUCUCUGUAGAGCAAACAAAUGUGAGUGGGCUUACCACCUUUUUGAGGAGAUGAUUAGUCAGGAGAUAACCCCUAGAUAUCAAACAUGUCAUUUCCUUUUGGAUGAAAUCAAACAGAAGAAUAUGUAUGAUGCUGCUGAUAGGGUUGAAGCUUUCAUGAAACAAAUGAAAUCAUCUUAGUAAAAGACAACUGAGGGAGCAAUAGUGGAGAAAUAGAUGCAUGGGGAGAAAUCUUGUUGAAUAUGCCCAUUUGUUAUUUUGUUACCUAAAAAACCUUUCGACUGCACCUUGUCAAAACCUUUAUUGAAGCAGUGUGCAACACUCGGUGGUUAUGUGUGGUGGUUUAGAGAUACCUUGGAGGAGAUUUGGAGUGACUCAAAUUCUCAAGUCAAACAUGUGCAGGAAAAUCUGGUGGCUCAAUUCUGCAGAAUCAGUAGACUGGUCUGGUUGAACAGGUUGAUCGUUUGCCGACUACAAAAUUUUUUGCUCUGCUUGCUUCAAUUGAUCAAUGGCUCAUGAGCUGGGCAAUUGAUUUUUGAACCUAUAGAAUUAGAAUUGUUUGCUCUCCAUCUCGGUCGGCUGAUAGAUCACGAGCUAGUCAACUGAAUCUCAGGGAAAAACUAUUCCGAAUUUCCUAUGUCAAUUGUCCUUCUCCUGAAAUUCAUAUGGGUUGUCUAUGAACUCUUUCGAACUUCUCUAUUGAGCAAGAGAAAAAUUUUUGUGUGAGGUACUUUUUGUCAAUUAUGGGCGUAAUUGUUUAACUGGGCUGGUGGGGCAUGAGAGUGUUAUGUACUCUUUUCACCUUUGAGCUCUUUGUGGUGAAUUUUUACUCAUCAUGGUGCCUCUUAAGGCUUUAAAGAUGAACUAAGUAAACUUGUGUGUGCA